CCUACGGGGGGCUGCAGUAAGGAAUAUUGGUCAAUGGACGCAAGUCUGAACCAGCCAUGCCGCGUGAAGGAUGAAGGCCCUCUGGGUUGUAAACUUCUUUUAUCUGGGACGAAAAAAGGGAAUUCUUUCCCACUUGACGGUACCAGAGGAAUAAGCACCGGCUAACUCCGUGCCAGCAGCCGCGGUAAUACGGAGGGUGCAAGCGUUAUCCGGAUUUACUGGGUUUAAAGGGUGCGUAGGUGGGUCUGUAAGUCAGUGGUGAAAUCUCCGAGCUUAACUCGGAAACUGCCAUUGAUACUAUAGGUCUUGAAUUAUCUGGAGGUAAGCGGAAUAUGUCAUGUAGCGGUGAAAUGCUUAGAUAUGACAUAGAACACCAAUUGCGAAGGCAGCUUACUACGGAUACAUUGACACUGAGGCACGAAAGCGUGGGGAUCAAACAGGAUUAGAUACCCCGGUAGUC
rnacentral:rRNA from 1 species